AUACUUACCCGGCAGGGGAGAUACCAUGAUUACAAGGUGGUUUUCACAGAGCGAGGCUUAUUCAUUGCACUCUGGAUGUGCUGACCCCUGUGAUUUCCCCAAAUGAGGGACACUCAACUGCAUAAUUUACAGUAGUGGGGAACUGCAUUUGCAGUCUCUC